UACAGAGGUCCCAAGCGUUGUUCGGAUUCAUUGGGCGUAAAGGGUGCGUAGGCGGCAGUGUAAGUUGGACGUGAAAUCCUGGGGCUUAACCUCAGAAUUGCGUUCAAUACUGCAUUGCUAGGGCGCUGUAGAGGAGAUUGGAAUUUACGGUGUAGCAGUGAAAUGCGUAGAUAUCGUAAGGAAGACCAGUGGCGAAAGCGAAUCUCUGGGCAGCAGCCGACGCUGAGGCACGAAGGCCAGGGGAGCAAACGGGAUUAGAAACCCCCGUAGUCC
rnacentral:rRNA from 1 species